rnacentral:misc_RNA from 1 species
GUUCCCCCCUCCGCUUCCCUUCCUGUGAAAAAAAAUAAUUGAGUUGCAACUAUAUGGAUAUUUUUUUUAAGAAACUAAUAAGAAUAAAAAUAUCCAUUAAACUACUGGAGCUAGUAAAGAUUUGAAUAUAUUCUUUUAGGAAGAUGUAUAGAAAGUUUACUACUUACUUUUAGUAGUAUAAAUUACAGUUAUGUUACUUAACCAAGCAAGUGGCAGAAGGGAAUUUU